rnacentral:misc_RNA from 1 species
UUCAGCUUUAUUGAUGAAGGCUUGGACUUGGAGGUCGUGCCGGCUCUCGUAGUCGGCUCCUCUGAAAUGCAUUAGUGCGAACGUUACCAGCCGCUUCAGCGUGAUAAUUAUCUGCGUUGCUGUGAAGGGUAUUCUAGUGUUCACGCUUCUAACCGUCUUCGGACAAAUUUCUGAACUC